CCUACGGGUGGCAGCAGUGAGGAAUAUUGGUCAAUGGGCGAGAGCCUGAACCAGCCAAGUCGCGUGAGGGAAGACGGUCCUAUGGAUUGUAAACCUCUUUUACCGGGGAGUAAAAAUCUGUACGUGUACCUCUUCGAGUGUACCCGGUGAAAAAGCAUCGGCUAACUCCGUGCCAGCAGCCGCGGUAAUACGGAGGAUGCGAGCGUUAUCCGGAUUUAUUGGGUUUAAAGGGUGCGUAGGGGGGUGGUUAAGUCAGCGGUGAAAGUUUGGGGCUCAACCACAGAAUUGCAGUUGAAACUGGCUGUCUAGAGUGGGCGAGAGGUAGGCGGAAUGCGUGGUGUAGCGGUGAAAUGCAUAGAUAUCACGCAGAACUCCGAUUGCGAAGGCAGCUUACUGGCGCCCAACUGACGCUGAGGCACGAAAGCGUGGGUAUCGAACAGGAUUAGAUACCCUUGUAGUC
rnacentral:rRNA from 1 species